CGAUCGUUAGAAUUAUUCUUACAAAUGGCUGCGCCCAGUAAAAAAUUUAACAGAAUUUAGAUUAUGAUUCCAGAUGACCAUUUAGAUGGUUUAAAUGUAUAGAAUGAGUAAGACCCAGAUCCAGUCAGAAUGGUAUAUUCUCAAGGAGCUGGUGUCAACAAUACAGAUUUUAUAUUAUAUGUAGAUUCAGUAACAUCAGAUGUUUGUAGAUUCAAUAGUCUAUGUUUGUAGUCUAGCAAUUGCAUGCAAAUCAGCAACUAACUCUAAGUUAACAACAGGUGAACAAAGUAUUAUCCUAUGCCAAAGUGUGCCAUGUGGAACAGUAUGAUAGACCAAUAUCUGGAUGUAUCAAUGUUUGUCCUCAUUCAGUUGUUAACAACAGUCCAGAAAAAUUAUACAAGGUUUGUAAAGUUUAUUGUAUUGAUUUUCUGUUUAUGAAGUGUAUAAACUGAUAGUUAUGGAUUAAGUUUUAAAAGUGGUUAAGAAAUUGAUGAUCAUUGAUAAAUAAAAAUGAUGUAAAUGCUAUCCGAUUUCUCAUUUAAACUAUUAAAUUGUGUCAACAUUAUCAUAUUCUGAUAUCAUUUACCCAGAAUUUCAUAUUGCCAACUUUGAAACCAGAUUGAAUUCUUGAAAUUUGAUUAGUAAUUAUUUACAGAUUGUUUGAUAUGUCCCCUGUCAUACUUUUUAUUGUUCUUUUGUAGACAUUGUUACAUGAGCUAUUCCAUACACUUGGAUUUUCAAAAACUCAUUUUGCAUAUUUUAAGUAGUGUCAGAUUAAAGGUUUGUCAUUAGGACCUUUAAUAACAUAGACAAUUAGCCAAAUGGUGGUUAAAUAAAUGUUUUUCUUAAUCAAAUUUUGAUGGACAUUGGAAUGCUGUCCUCUUCCUACUUACAAGAUACUUACAGACAAGAUACAAUCAUAUGCCAACAGUGAAAUUGAUAAUUCACAGAAUUCAUUAUUGAUAUGUAUAAAGUAUAUUGAAGUGUAUUAAAGUUGAGAAUGGAAAUGGGGAAUGUGUCAAAGAGACAACAACCCGACCAUAGAUCAGACAACAGCCGAAGGCCACCAAUGGGUCUUCAAUGCAGCAAGAAACUCCCGCACCCGGAGGUGUCCUUCAGCUGGCCCCUAAACAAAUAUGUAUACUAGUUCAGUGAUAAUGGACGCCAUACUAAACUCCAAAUUAUACACAGGAAACUAAAAUUAAAAAUGAUACAAGACUAACAAAGGCCAGGUACUUGUUUGUACUUCCCAAGAAGCUCUACAGAACUUGAUUUUGUAUUACAUUAUGUUUUCUAACUUAAAGUUUCUGGUCUAUACCUAAUUCGUAGAUACCACUAUGAAUACUUGAUACAAAUUACACAUAAUGCACCUUAUUUAUUGUAUUUGUUAUGUUCAUAUCAGAAACCAAAAGUUUAUAAGCUUUUAUUGAAACUUUUUUUAUGAAUUUACAUUUAAUCUUUAAAAUUCUACUGACGGAAUAUAAAAAUAGAAGAUGUGGUAUAAUUGCCAAUGAGACAACUCUCCACCAGAGACCAAAUGACAUAGAAGUUAACAACUAUAUGUCACUGUACGGCCUUCAACAAUGAGCAAAACCCAAACCGCAUAGUCAGCAAUAAAAGGCCCACAAUGACAAUUGUAAAACACUUCAAUUGAGAAAACUAACGACCUGAUUUAUGUAAAAAACAAUGAACGAAAUACAAAUAUGAUGUACAGCAACAAAUGACAACCAAUGAAUGACAGGCUCCUGACUUGGGACAGGCACAUACAGAAUGUGGGUGUUAAAUAUGUUAGCAGGCGCUCAACCCUCCCCAUAACCUGGGACAGUGGUGUAACAGUACAAUAUAUGAACAAAGUAUAAAAAUCAGUUGAAAAGGGCUUAAUUCAUCAGAUCGAUAAAAAGCAGAAAAACACAGACCAGACGUGGCAGGGUAUUUAUACAUCCUUACAACAAAUUUUUGCAGGAAAUUAACAAAUUAAAAAAACUGUUUUCUAAAGAAGACUUGAGGACAAUUUUGACAGAAUAUAUAUAUAUCAUGGAAUUUUCCUAUCCAGUACUUAGAUAUCCAAUUAGCUGUGCAGUUGAUUGGCAAUUUUCUUGGGUGCUCAGUCUCCUUCCUAGAAACCCCAAUAAUACUGACUGUUGUUAUAAAAGUGAUAUUAAACCUCUGUAUGUUUUAGUGAUAACUAUAGAAUUGACCUUCAAAAACAUUUUUUUUAGUUUUUUGCAGAAAGAAAUCUUGAUUGUCAUUCCCUAGGUUUAACCAUUGUCAAAGAAGUUAAUGGAUAAGUAAGGAUUGUUACACCAUCAGUUUUAAGAGAAACACAAAAUCAUUUUGGAUGUUCAUCUGAAACUAAAUAUGGUGCACAUUUGGAAGGAAAGUUUAACGACUUACAUCACAUUAGGAUGAAAUGUUGAUGUAUGGAUCCUGAUAUGGGAAUGAUACUAGGGUACAGAGGAUAUAUCAAAUGUCCAAGUAGUCAAGAUAUCAUGUGUCCAGAUCUCCCAGAUAAUACCACCCUGCCUGUUACAGAAUAUUCUAAUGUUACAUACUAUACUUCAACCAGUGCCAAAAUAUCAAGUACAGACCAUAGUUCCAUUGGCAGUGCAUCACCAAGGACAAACAACAAUGUUCCUAUAAAUAUUUCUCCAAAUCUGUUUAUUAGUUUUAUUAUAUAUUCUUUAAUUAAUUUUAAUUAUAGUCUUUCUCACCUUAGAAGAGAGAGUAAUUGUUUUUAUAAUGUAUUCUGCUUUAUAAAUACAAUAUCCCAGCUUAA